rnacentral:rRNA from 1 species
AACGCGAAGAACCUUACCAGCCCUUGACAUCCCGGUCGCGGGAACGAGAGAUCGAUCCCUUCAGUUCGGCUGGACCGGAGACAGGUGCUGCAUGGCUGUCGUCAGCUCGUGUCGUGAGAUGUUGGGUUAAGUCCCGCAACGAGCGCAACCCUUGUCCUGUGUUGCCACUCCCGUAAGGGAAGCACUCUCAGGAGACCGCCAGCGAUAAGUUGGAGGAAGGUGGGGAUGAUGUCAAGUCAUCAUGGCCUUUAUGUCCAGGGCUACACACGUGCUACAAUGGACGGUACAAAGCGCUGCAAACCCGCGAGGGGGAGCUAAUCGCAAAAAACCGUUCUCAGUUCGGAUCGCAGGCUGCAACUCGCCUGCGUGAAGCUGGAAUCGCUAGUAAUGCCGUAUCAGAACGAUGGCGUGAAUACGUUCCCGGGCCUUGUACACACCGCGCACUA